rnacentral:rRNA from 1 species
CCUACGGGGGGCAGCAGUGGGGAAUUUUGGACAAUGGGCGCAAGCCUGAUCCAGCCAUUCCGCGUGAGUGAAGAAGGCCUUCGGGUUGUAAAGCUCUUUCGGCCGGGAAGAAAUCGCAUCAGCGAAUAACUGGUGUGGAUGACGGUACCGGCAGAAGAAGCACCGGCUAACUACGUGCCAGCAGCCGCGGUAAUACGUAGGGUGCGAGCGUUAAUCGGAAUUACUGGGCGUAAAGCGUGCGCAGGCGGUUAUGUAAGACAGAGGUGAAAAGCCCGGGCGUAACCUAGGAAGUGUGUUUGUGACUGAAUAAGGAGAGUGCGACAGAGGGGAGUGGAAUGCAACGGGUAGCAGGGAAAGGCGUAGUUAUGUGGAGGAACACCGAUGGCGAAGAUAGCCCCCUGGGUCGACACUGACGCUCAGGCACGAUGGCGUGGUGAGCAAACAGCUGUAGAUACCCGAGUUGUC